UACGAAGGGGGCUAGCGUUGUUCGGAAUUCACUGGGCGUAAAGCGCACGUAGGCGGAUUGUUAAGUCAGGGGUGAAAUCCUGGAGCUCAACUCCAGAACUGCCUUUGAUACUGGCAAUCUUGAGUCCGGAAGAGGUGAGUGGAACUCCUAGUGUAGAGGUGGAAUUCGUAGAUAUUCGGAAGAACACCAGUGGCGAAGGCGGCUCACUGGACUGGUAUUGACGCUGAGGUGCGAAAGCGUGGGGAGCAAACAGG
rnacentral:rRNA from 1 species